rnacentral:rRNA from 1 species
CCUCAAGGUGAGAGAUACGGAGGUAGAGCACUGAAUGUCCUAGGGGGUAUUGCACCUACCGAAGACUAUUAAACUCCGAAUGCCGUCAUCUUAUACUUGGGAGUCAGACUGUGGGUGAUAAGAUUCAUAGUCGAAAGGGCAACAGCCCAGAUCGUCAGCUAAGGUCCCUAAAUGUAAGUUAAGUGGUAAAGGAUGUGGGAUUGCACAGACAACCAGGAUGUUGGCUUAGAAGCAGCCACUCAUUCAAAGAGUGCGUAAUAGCUCACUGGUCGAGUGAUCCUGCGCCGAAGAUUUCCGGGGCUAAAACUUACUACCGAAGCUACGGCAUCAGUAAUGAUGGGUAGGGGAGCUUCCCAUACGGGUUGAAGCAUGACCGUAA